rnacentral:lncRNA from 1 species
GCUGUGGGAGUGGCUCAAGAAAAGGCAAAAAGACAAAAAGAAAAAAAAAUCCUCUUUGGGAAUGGAGCGAGGAAAGGUUGAGUAGAAUUGUUGAGUUAGUCUGUUUUGGCUUAGGUUAGUCUCUUCAAGUUCUAGAAUUAGCCAUAUUUAUAAAUUUCAUAAAUUAAAAGUAUCACUAUGUAGCUUUGAGUGCCUCAGAGAUUUAAUAAACAACUUUAAAACAAGGCCAGAAUUAUAGGGGGGGAAAAAAGCUAGUUUACCACCUUGCCUGUCUUCUGGAGGACUUAGGUGUAUUAUAAAUGUGAUAUAAUCAGGAAAAUCAAACAUUUUAAAACCUGGCAUUCUUUUUUUUUUUUUUUUUUUCUUUUUAUGUAGGUGUGGCAUAUGGAAGUUCCUAGGCUAGGGAUCAAAUCAGAGCUGCAGCUGCUGGCCUACACCACAGCCAUAGCAAUGCCAGAGCUAAGUCUGUGACCUACAACACAGCUCACAGCAAUGCCAGAUCCUUAACCCACGGAGCAAGGCCAGAGAUUGAACCCGCAUCCUCAUGGAUACCAGUUAGGUUCAUGACCACUGAGCUACAGUGGGAACUCCAAAACCUGGCAUUCUUACUAAUUUUAUCUAUUCCAGAGUUUGACAUUUUUUUAAAUUAAAAAAUUAAAAAUUGUGGUAAGAUUUUAAAUUGUGGUAAGAUAGUCAUAAUGUAAAAUUUACUAUUUUAACCCCUCUUUUAGGUGUACAUGACUGAUUUGCUUUGAAGUGAGGGAAACAGCUUAUUCCAGACUGUCCUUUGGAGGAGGCUGGAUGAGUUGGCUUGGCUCCACAUGGGAGAGGGGGUGCCAUCAUCCCCAGUGGUCAACACAAGAAUGCUUCCAUGAUCACUAGUGCUUGUUUUGGCCAGCAGUAUUUUCUGAAAGAUCGUUGCUCCUGGAAUAUGAUGAAAAGGUUUACUAUCCAAAGUGUAAGAAGUUUGAGAAGGUUCAAAGGAAAGAAACACCAAAGGCGACUUAGGAAGAAAGAUAAUUUGCUGGAGUAGACAGUACUGGCCUGGGAUUCAGGUAAGAGCCAAUAUUGGUCUUGACUCUGAACUUAGGUGGUUACUUUCUUAAAGCCAGCCAUUGAAUUUCUCAGAGGCUCAGGUUCUUUAUUUGUACCUGGGAACAAUAUCCCUUCUGCCUGUUUACAGUAGAGUCAAAUGAAAUUGUAUAUGAAAUAAUACUUAUAAGCUAUAAAGUAUUAUGCAAAUACAAUGCAACUUUAAACAACUUAAGGGAACCACAUUAAACUAGACUGUUGAAUGUUUCUUAAAAAAAAUAUCUUGAGUGUUUUAUUUCACCAAAUUUAUGUUUUUACUCAGCAGACUUAGAAUUGACAAAAAUGGGAUUUAGGUAAGAAAUUAGUUUCUUCUAUCUUGAGAUAGGGAAAUGUUGCAAUAAUUUAAAAGGCAAAGUUUCCUUUCCCCACUUUUGGGUAUAUUUAGAAGGAAAAGGCAGACAAGUAAUGUUUUGGAAAUGAAGAAUAGAUGGACCACCCAACCGCAAUGCAUGUGGGGAUAGAGCAAAACAACCCCUGACAA